rnacentral:tRNA from 1 species
GAGGGUACAGCUCAAGUGGUAGAGUACAUGCUUUACACGCAUGAGGUCCUGUGUUUAAUCCCCAGUACCUCCU